UACGGAGGGACUAGCGUUGUUCGGAAUUUACUGGGCGAAAGCGCACGUAGGCGGAUUGUUAAGUCAGGGGUGAAAUCCCAGGCUCAACCUCGGAACUGCCUUUGAUACUGGCAAUCUCGAGUCCGGAAGAGGUGAGUGGAAUUCCUAGUGUAGAGGUGAAAUUGUAGAUAUUGGGAAGAACACCGGUGGGCGAAGGCGGCUCUCUGGACCCGAGACUGACGCUGAG
rnacentral:rRNA from 1 species